rnacentral:tRNA from 1 species
AUUUAUGUAGUUUAAUUAAAACCUUACAUUUUCAAUGUAAAAAUAAAAAUUUUAUUUUUCAUAAAUA